CUUGGAAGAUGAUCCAUACCAAACUAGCAUAGUUCACACUGAAACGAUCGUGUUGAUAAACCUGCAUCUUGUCUUUCGCUCCUAUCUGACUUCUUAU
rnacentral:snoRNA from 1 species